rnacentral:lncRNA from 1 species
UAAAAACCGACUUCUUCUCCACAUAGUUCAAACUUUCCACACGAGUAUGAUGGGAAUCUUUUUUUGCAGCGAUGCAAUGUACCAGAUUACUUUCAAAUUUCAAAAGGCGAAAAACAAUUCCAAACCAACAUCUGACCUUCUCAAGAUAUCAAGGUUUACCCCAAAAAAGGGAUAUCAAGGUUUACCCAUCAACACUUCAGUUCUCAACCUAACGAGAAUAAAGUUAAAGCAGUUAGCUGAAACCAACAUUAGUCACUGCAGCAGGGCCUACUCUGUCUCCACCAAUAAGAAUUCCUAGCGAGCGUGGGUUCACUUGAGAUGGCACUCGUAGUCUGAUCUGACCAUAGCAAAAAAAUUACAGCUCGUAAAAUGAUUCGACCUAGCUAUUCACAUCUGAGAAACCUCUACUGGCCUAACUAGGCUCUCCGUAAGGCUUUGCGUAGCUCUGUUUGAUAGUCACCAAACUGAAUGCCAGUAGGAGGAUGCAUGUUGAAAACGUAAGCGACUGGUGCUGAUACUUGCAUCCCAUUUGGAUAACUUGGGGCGUCCGAAAACCAUCCCAGAGUCCCUUCAUCGAACAUAAAUGAUUCACGCAGAAAAUAGAAGCAUUCCCUCGCCAAUCUUUCAGCCUGUAAAAAUGGCAGCAAGGUCAUACUCAGAUAACCUGGAUUAAGUUAUUCAGGCAAAAGGUACAAGCAAAUAAGAAAAUAUCUAUCAUUAAUCAGGCACAACAGUAGUUUUUAGCUGUAUAUUUUGCUUCUAAGAAAUUGGCAUACCUGUAAGUGAACAAAUUUUGUGUUGUUCAUGAUCAAGACAACCUGCAAAUUGGGCAAUGUCUCUGACAAGGUCUUGAUGGCAAUAUGCUCAAAGAAUUUCUGCAGGAGAACUCUCUCAUUCAUUGAUUCAUCAGAAUCAAAAUCAGCAAACCAGAAAACCCGCUGUAACUUUGCCCAAGGAACGGGUAGUUUACGUUCACCACCAAGAAUCAGACGACAAGGAUCAGCCACAUUCUGGAGUAUCAUGAUGCCGUUUGUCACUGAAUCAGAUUCCACUGAAUGCAGACCAGGUGUACAUGUAACUAUCUUAGUGGG